CACUUUCUCCUGCUGCCUUGUGGAGAAGAUGUCUGCUUCUCGUUCGCCUUCCACCGUCAUUGUAAUUUUCCUGAGGCCUCCCCAGCCAGGUGGAACUAAACCGCAAUCAAGGAUCUUGCCUACUUUUUUACCCAUUCCCUCUGCCUCCUGAACAUCCCUGGUGCUGCUCCCCUGUGGCCACUGCAUGGCAUGACAAGCUCCCACACUUGGGAUCUGACUGUUUGUUGUCCAAAAAGCCUUUUCCCCUAAGCUUGAAAGCUUAACUUCUCAGAAGCAGGAAGCUGCCUUUUGCCAAGAGUAAAUGGGUGAGAAGUCCAAAGGUCUCGGUUUUGAAGUAUGUGCAACGAAUGUUCAAACAGGUUCUGAACGGAGCCAAAUCUACUUUUCUAUCUCCAAGAAAUUUCGAGAGAGCCACGGGGCGGAAGUUUCAAGGAACAUCGUCUCGUCCCAAACCGCAUGAAAUUGCAUUCCAAUGAGAUGCAUGGCCAAACCCACCAGAAUACAAAACGCAGGGAUGGAAGGAGACUUGAUGACGAUGACCUUGUGAAAUGAGAGAAUUGUCUUGAAAGGGAGCGAUGUUAUGGAAGAUGCUGAUUUUGGCAUUCCCUGUCUGAAGCGCUAACUAAACUCAUUGGGCUUUUGCUCUGCACCAGGUACUGAUAGGAAAACUCCUAUACUUUUCAUGUGUAUUCACUUACUUGACACCUGAUGGAGGAGGUAUUUUUCAGAGGAGAAAACUGAGUCAUGGACAAAGUGAGUGACGUGCCUGAGAUCAUUCAUCUAAGAUGUUGCAGAGCUGGGAUUUGAACCUAGUUUGUCUGCCUCUGGGAUCUGAGCUGGUAAACAUCACACGGCACUUUGUGGCUCGUUUGUGACUGGUCCGUCCAUUAGAGGAAAAUGGUUAGAAGUCCUACUCUGUGCCCCUCAGUGUACCAGUACUUGGAGAUACUUCCGCCAGAUGCUUCCUGGAGGAAGUAGUAGAGUCUUUACCCCCAUGAAACUUAAUCUGGUGGUGGAAGACAAACAUAAAACAAAUAAUUGAUUUGAGCUCUGAGAAGUGCCACAAAGGCAAUGCACAGAUAUAACGAUGGGGGAGGGAGGGGUGGCACUUGGUCUGGGAAGUAGGGGAAAACUGUCUGUGUAAGUGACAUUUUAUCUCAGACUGGAAGGGUGUUGUUAUGGGUUCAAUUCCAUCCUCUUCUCCCCAGCAUUCAUAUGUCAAAGUCCUAACCCCUAGACCUCAGAACGUGACCUUAUUUGGAAAUAGUGUUCUUGCAGAUGUAAUUAGUUAAGUUGAGGUUAGAGUAGAGUAGGGUGGGCCCCUGCUAUAAUACGACUGUUAUCUUUAUAAAAAGGGGAAAUUUAGAGACACACACACACACACAGGGAGAAGGACAUGAGAACAGGAGGCAGAGAUCAGACUGGUAUUUCCACAAACCAACGAGUGCCAAAAACAGCCAGCAAAUCACCUUCAAAAGGAGCAUGACAUCUUGAUCUUGGACUUUCAUAUUCCAGAACUGUGUUUUAUCCACUCGCAUCGUGGUACCUUGUCAUGGCAGCCCUAGCAAAUGAAUACAGAGGGAAGGUGCCUGUCAGGUGAGGAGGGAGUGGAGAGUAGGAGAGAGGGAAAAAGAAACGAAACCCAGGAAGAAGAGCUAGCAUGUGCAGAAUCCCCAAGGGAGGAAAGAGCAUGACACAUUUGGGAAGGUGGAACCAGGGAGAGGGGAGGGUGGAAGAUGAAGCAGGUGGAACCAGAUUGUGGCGUCGCUAAUACACAAUGUGACGUUUAUAUGAAGGACGAUGUGAAACCAGUGAAGGGUUUUAACCAAGGGGCAACCAUAAUUGGACCUGAAUUUUAAUAUCAUUGUUCUGUUGCUGUGUGGAAACUGAAUUUUGGGGGUGGUAGGAAAGAAUAAAUGUAGAACAGUUUAGAAGCUAUUGUGUUUGUGCCCAGGAGUUUCAGAUGAAUUCUUCAGAUUGGUUAUUCUUCCAAACAGGCCAUUUUCCUCAAGCCAUUUCCCUACUUAGACACAUUCAUUGUUUACACUGUACCAGGCUCUGAAACUGUGCUGUCCAAUAUGGUAGCCACUGGCCACAUGUGGCUCAUUUAAAUUAAAAUUAAAUAAAAUUAAAGACUCAGUUGCUCUGUCUCACUGAGAUGUGCCUAUGUGCUCACUAGCUGCAUCAUUCAUUGAAAGUUCUGUUAGACAGCUCUGGUCUAGGGAAACGCAGAGGAAUAGGCACCAUCCCGUCCUUGUUUUUAGAUCAGUAAAAGAGCCCCAGACAAUUGGAUUUCAUAGACCAGCAAGAACUUUUUCUUUUUUAAUUAUACUUUAAGUUUUAGGGUACAUGUGCACAACGUGCAGGUUUGUUACAUAUGUAUACAUGUGCCAUGUUGGUUUGCUGCACCCAUUAACUCAUCAUUUACAUUAGGUAUAUCUCCUAAUGCUAUCCGUCCCCCCUCCCCCCACCCCACAACAGGCCCCAGUGUGUGAUGUUCCCCUUCCUGUCUCCAUGUGUUCUCAUUGUUCAAUUCCCACCUAUGAGUGAGAACAUGUGGUGUUUGGUUUUUUGUCCUAGACCAGCAAGAACUUUUAUAAAUACACUAAGAAAAUGAAAAGGCAAUUCACAGAGCUGGAAAAAUAUCUGCACCGCCUAUGACUGGUACGGGGUUCUGUAAAUAAUAUUUUAAGGUCUCCCCAAAUCAGAAAAUAAGAAAACAGCUCAGUAGAAAAAUGCAAGAGACUUGAACAGGGAUUUUCCAAAGGAGAAUAUCUGAAUGGUUAAUAAAUAGAUGAAAAGGUACUCAAUCCUAUCAGAAGUCAGAGAAAUGCCCAUUAAAGCUGCAAUAAGAUGCUACCCACACACACCAGAAUGGCUCAGAUGGAAAAGACGAACAAUAUCAGACUAAGGACAUGCACCAGAGUUUCUAGGAUUAAAAGACUAUCCAUACUAAGUGUUGGCAAGGAUGUGGAGUGACUCAAACUCUCAUAAGUGUUGGUGAGAGUGUAACUGGCACAACCUCUUUGGAAGGCAGUUUAGUGCAGGGUGGCUUUAUAAUUUAUUAUCCAAACCAGUUCACUUUCAGGAAUGGAAGGGGGAAAUGUUCACUGAUUCCACAGGCAUUGACUGGGAGAGUCCUUGAACAUACAAUUAACCUAAUCAAAAUAGAUAUUCAUGUGUAUGAUCCAUCAAAUCCACACCUAGGUGUGUAUGUGCAUGUAUGUGUGCACAAGUGACAAAAUGUUCUCCGUGGCGCUGUUUGUAGCAGCUCCAAACUGGCAGCAACCAGAAUGCACUGCAAUACUGUGCAUCAUCAAAAAUGAACUAAUCUGUGUGAAAUACAACAACAGGGAGGAAUGUUAGAAAUAUAUUGGGGCCAGGCACACAGCGGCUCAUGCCUGUAAUUCCAGCACUUUGGGAGGCCGAGGUGGGCAGAUGGCUUGAGCCCAGGAGUUCGAGACUAGCCUGGGCAACAUGGAAAAACCCUGUCUCUACAAAAAAUACAAAAAUUAGCCGCGUGUGGUGGCAUGCAUCUGUGGGCCCAGCUACUUAGGAGUCUGAGGUGGGAGGAUCACCUGAGCCUGGGAGGCAGAGGGUGCAAUGAACCAAGAUCACAUCACUGCACUCCAGCCUGGGCAAUGGAGUAAGAUCCUGUCGAAAGAAAGAAUGAACGAAGGAAUGAAAGGAAGGAAGGAUGGAAAGGGGAAAGAAAGAAAGAAAGAACAGAAAAAUGUUGCACAAACACCCAUGUAUGAAAGAAUAUAUCACUUAUAAUCCAUUUGGAACAGAAAACUAAAGGCAGGACUUGGUGUUGGCAAUCAGGGUGGUGUUUUCCCUUGGGGAGGAGGGAGGGGCUGAUGAGAAGUGCUAGUAGAGGGGUUUCUGGGGUGCUGGCAAUAUUUUAUUUUUUGACCUAAAUUGUGGUUACACAGGUAUUCAUUUCGUGAGAGUUCAGCUGUACAGCUAUAUUUUUGUGCUCUUUUCUGUAUAUGUGCUAUAUUUCACAAUUAAAAAUCAAUGCAAA